GUAGUGUGAGGCUUCUAGCUUUGUUCUUUUUGCUCAGUAUUGCUUUGGCUAUUUGGGGUCUUCUGUGGUUCCAUAUGAAUUUCAGGGUUUUUUUUUUUCCUGUUUCUGUGAAGAAUAUAAUUGAUAGGGAUUAUACUGAAUCUCUAGAUUGCUUCGGGUAGUAUGGUCAUUUUAACAGUAUUAGUAAUUCCAACCCACGAGCAUGAGAUGCUUUUCCAUUUUGUUUGUGUCUUCUCAAUUUAUUUUAUCAGUGUCUUGUGGUUUUCAUUGUAGAGGUUUUUUUGUUUGUUUGUUUGUUUGUUUGUUUGUUUGUUUGUUUUCCGCAUCCUUGGUUAAGUUUAUUCCUAGGUAUUUUAUUUUUGUAGCUAUUGUAAAUAGAAUUUCUUCCUUGGUUUCUUUUUUAGUUAGUUUGUUACUGGUAUAUAGAAACAUUACUGAUUUUUGUAUAUUGAUUUUGUGUCCUGAAGCUUUACUGAAUUAUACAUCUGUUUUUUUAAAAAAAUUUUAUUUUUUAUUUUUUGAGAUACAGUCUCGCUCUGUUGCCCAGGCUGGAGUGCAGUGAUGUAAUCUUGGCUCACUGCAACCUCCGCCUCUGGGUUUCAAGCGAUUCUCCUGCUUCAGCCUCCCAAGUAGCUGGGAUUACAGGCACCUACCACCAUGCCUGGUUAAUUGUAUUUUUAAUAGAGACAGGAUAUCACCAUGUUGGCCAGGCUGGUCUCAAACUCCCAACCUCAGGUGAUCCACCCACCUUGGCCUCCCAAAGUGCUGGGAUAACAGGCAUGAGCUACCAUGCCCAGCCUAAUUUAUCCAUUUAAAGAGUUUUUUGGUGGAGUCUUUAGGUUUUUCUGUUUAAAAGUAUAAGAUUAUGUCAUCUGCAAAGUGAGACAAUUUGACUUCCUCUUGUCUAGUUUGGAUGCCUUUUAUUUCUUUAUCUUGUCUGAUCACUCUGGCUUGGAUGUCCCAUACUGUGUUGAAUAAGAGUGGUGAAAGUGGGCAUCCUUGUCUUGUUCCAGUUCUCAGAGGAAUAGCUUUUCAAUUUUUCCCAGUGAGUAGGUUGUUAGCUGUAGAUUAGUCAUAUAUGCCUUUUCUUAUGUUGAAGUGUUCCUUCUAUGCCUAAUUUGUUGAGAGUUUUCAUCAUGAAGGAAUGGUAAGUUUUACCGAGUGAUUUUUCUGCAUCUGCUGAGAUGAUCAGAUAGUUUUUGCCUUUCAUCUUGUUGAUGUGAUGUAUCACAUGCAUUGAUUUUGUGUAUGUUGAGCCAUCUUUGCAUUCCUGGUAUAAAUCCCACUUGAUCAUGGUAUAUUAUCUUUUUCAUUCAUCAUUAGAUUUGGCUUGGUAGUAUUAUGCUGAGAAUUUUUCCAUCUGUGUUCAUUAGGAAUAUUGGCCUGUAGUUUUCUCUUUCUGUUGUGUCCUUGUCUUGAUUGGAUAUCAGGGUAAUGCUGGCCUUAUACAAUGAGUUAGGAAGAAUUCCCUCCUCUUCAAUUUUUGGGAAUAGUUUGAGAAGAAUUGGUGUUUGUUUUUCUUUAUAAACUGGGUAGAAAUCAGCAUAAAACCCUAGUCUAGGGCUUUUCUCUUUGGGGAGACAUUUUGUUACUGAUUCAAACCUGCUAUUCAUUUUGAGUCAGUUCAGGUUUUCUGUUUCUUCCUAGUUCAAUCUUGGUAGGCUGUGUAUGUCUGGGAAUUUAUCCCUUUCCUCUAAGUUUUCCAAUUUGUUAGGAUAUGGUUGUUCAUAGUAGCCUCUAAUCAUCCUUUUUAUUUCUUUGGUAACAGUUGUAAUGUCUCCUUUUUCAUUUCUGCUUGUAUUUAUUUGGGUCUCCUUUCUUUCUUUCUUUUUUUUUUUUUUUUGGUUAGCCUCACUAGUGGUUUAUCAAUUUUGUUUAACUUUUCAAAAAAACAACUUUUGUCUUGUUGAUUCUUUGCAUUUCUUUUUUGUCUCUGUUGCAUUUGGUUCUGCUGUUAUUUUUUUUUUCUUUCUACUAAUUGUGUGUUUGGUUUGUUCUUGCUUUUUGAGUUCCUUGAGGUGCAUCAUUAGAUUGUUUAUUUGAGAUCUUUCUACUUUUUUGGUGUAGGCAUUUAUUGCUAUAAACCUUCCUCCUAGUACUGCUUUUGCUGUAUCCCAUAGGUUUUGCAUGAUGUGUUUCCAUUUUCUGUUUAAAAAUUUUUUUUGAUUUCCAUCUUAAUUUCUUCAUUGACCCAAUGAUCAUUCAAUAGCACAUUUAAUGUCCAUGUAUUUGUACAGUUUCCAAAUUUCUUCUUGUUAUUGAUUUCAAGUUUUAUUCCAUUGUGGUCUGAGAAGAUACUUGAUAUGAUUUUAACGUUUAAAAUUUUGUUGAGCCUUGUUUUGUGUCCUAACAUAUGGUCUAUCCUGGAGAAUGUUCCAUGUGUUGAUGAGAUGAUUGUGUAUUCUGCUGCUGCUGGAUGAAAUAUUCUGAAAAUAUCUGUUAGGUCCAUUUGGUCUAAAGUGCAGCUUAAAUCUAAUGUUUCUUUGUUGAUUUUAUGUCUAGAUGAACUAUCCAAUGCUGAAAGUAGGAUAUUGAAGUUCUCAACUAUCAUUGUAUUGGACUCUAUCUCUCCCUGUAGAUUUAAUAAUAUUUGCUAUGUGUGUCUGGAUGCACUUGUGUUGGUUGCAUGCAUAUUUAGAAUUGUUAUAUUUUGUUGCUGAGUUUAUCCCUUUAUUACCAUAUAAUGACCUUCUUUGUCCUUUUUACAGUUUUUGACUUAAAGUCUGUUUUAUCCGAUGCAAGUUUAGCUACUCCUGAUUACUUUGGAUUUCUGUUUGUGUGGCAUAUCUUUUUCAAUCCCUUCACUUUCAGUCUGUGUGUGUCUUUACAAGUGAAGUGAGUUUCUUGUAGACGUUGUUGAGUCAUUUUUUAUCCAUUAAGCCUGUCUCUAUCUUUUAGGUAGGUAAUUUAACACAUAUUCAAAGUUAUUAUUGAUAGGUGAGAACUUAUUCCUGUCAUUUUGUUCAUUGUUUUCUGGUUAUUUUGUAUAUCCUUUUGAUUUGGUUUGGCUGUGUCCCCACUCAGAUCUCAUCUUGAAUUUCCAUGUGUUGUGGGAGGGACCCAGUGGGAAGUAGUUAAAUCAUGGGGGCAGGUAUUUUCCAUGCUAUUCUUUUGAUAGUGAGUAAGUCUCAUGAGAUCUGAUGGUUUUAAAAGGAGGAGUUUCCCUGCUCAAGCUCUCUCUUUGCCUGCUGCCAUCCCUGUAAGAUGUGACUUGUCUCUCCUUGACUUCUGCAAUGAUUUUGAAGCCUCCCCAGCAAAGUAGAACU
rnacentral:lncRNA from 1 species